rnacentral:rRNA from 1 species
CGGUAACACGUGAGCAACCUACCGAACUGUGGGGGAUAGCCGGCCUAACGGCCGAGUAAUACCGCAUACGCUUUCAGUGAGGCAUUUCAUUGAAAGGAAACCUACGGGACAGAUCGAGGGGCUCGCGGCCUAUCAGCUAGUUGGCGAGGUAACGGCUCACCAAGGCAACGACGGGUAGCUGGUCUGAGAGGAUGGCCAGCCACAUUGGGACUGAGAUACGGCCCAG